rnacentral:rRNA from 1 species
CGGGGGGGGCUAAGCGUUGUUCGGAAUUACUGGGCGUAAAGGGCUCGUAGGUGGCCAACUAAGUCAACCGUGAAAUCCCUCGGCUUAACCGGGGAACUGCGUUUGAUACUGGAUGGCUUGAGUUUGGGAGAGGGAUGCGGAAUUCCAGGUGUAGCGGUGAAAUGCGUAGAUAUCUGGAGGAACACCGGUGGCGAAGGCGGCAUCCUGGACCAAUACUGACACUGAGGAGCGAAAGCCAGGGGAGCAAACGGGAUUAGAUACCCCGGUAGUCCUGGCCCUAAACGAUGAAUGCUUGGUGUGGCGGGUAUCGAUCCCUGCCGUGCCGAAGCUAACGCAUUAAGCAUUCCGCCUGGGGAGUACGGUCGCAAGGCUG